AGCCCCUGUUCUGCAUGGCACAGUACAAACAAUAGGAAGACACAGUCCAUACCCCAAAGAGUUUACAUUCUCAUGAAGCCAACAGCCAUGAUAACUUCCUGGUCUGAGAAGUUUCAGCACCAUCCAGGCCCUCAAAUGAAACUGAUUAACAAUGGUGCACAACUGACAUCAAGGAAUGCAGAGAUCAAGGACGCAUGAAAAAUAUUCUGCUGUUUCUGUACCAAUGAAUAUUGAGAAUGUUCAGUAUAAACCUAAGAGAACAAAGGAGUGGCAUAUGGGAUCACAGUAAUUGCCAUUAGUCAGGCAUCCUAUUUCUGAAACUGGAAUGUACCAGAUGCUGCAAUGGAAGGCGUAAAACCACCAGUCUUAAAAUUGUAAAUGUGCUUGAAAAUACAUUUGUUUACGUAACUUUUCUGUGAUAGGUCUUGAGCUAGUCAUCUUUUCUUUGUCUACAACUUUCAUUUACAACAUAAUCUGAUAGGGAUAUGUAGGACAGAAGAGAAAAUGGCAAUGGAAAUGUAUGUUAAAAGUCAGUUAAAA